CCUCAUGCACGCGCAUGCAAUGCUCUCAAUAGCAUUGCAAUGCUAUGAGUUUUCUUCUCAGAACUUAAUUUUCGUUCUCCCUCUCAAACGAACCCGAUUGAUCACAUUUUCAUUCUCCCACUUUGUUGCUGCCCUAGCUUCCUUCUCAAACGAAGUCAACCAGCUCCCUCCCAUGGAAGCAUUCACGCUGCCGCCACUCUUUCCUCCCUGUUGCCCAAGCUUUUGUUUCAUCUCAAGCUUUCUUGACGCCGUAGCUUCGCAUCAGCUUCAUCUCCAAGAAGUUCAUUAGGGUUCAAAGGAUAUUUGCAUUUCGUCGAUAACAAAGUUUGCAUCCCUCUAUUUUCGCUUAAGGUUACUGUCCAUCUGUACUAAGAUCCUUGAGGUCUUUUACAAUGCCCACAAAGCUGUACUUCAUCCAACAGGUCCACUUCUUGAUCAAGAAACUCAGACUCUAAAGCCUAGGUGUGUCCGGACGUUGAAACGAAUAUUUAUUCUUUAUGAUCAUGAUAAAGACGGUGCUUUGAGUGAUGCGGAGUUGAAUCAUUUUCAGGUCUUCCUGUCCGUCCACAAUUUUUUUGGCAAACACCUUAUAAAUUUUUUAUUAUUUGUAAUAUUUGUGCCUGCAAUGGCUGACUUGACUCUAUGGAGCUCUUAUUAUUGUUAUUUUUUUGUUAAUCUUGUAAUCAGGUUAAAUGUUUCAAUGCUCCUUUACAACCUUCUGAAAUUGUGGGGGUUAAGAGGGUUGUGCAAGAAAAACUUACUGAAGGAGUGAAUGAUCAUGGGCUCACUUUGACAAGGUUCCUCUUUCUUCAUGCUUUAUUGAUUGAGAAGGGGCGUUUAGAGAUA